AACGAACGCUGGCGGCAGGCUUAACACAUGCAAGUCGAACGCCCCGCAAGGGGAGUGGCAGACGGGUGAGUAACGCGUGGGAAUCUACCCAGCUCUACGGAACAACCCAGGGAAACUUGGGCUAAUACCGUAUACGUCCGAUAGGAGAAAGAUUUAUCGGAGUUGGAUGAGCCCGCGUUGGAUUAGCUAGUUGGUGAGGUAACGGCUCACCAAGGCUCCGAUCCAUAGCUGGUCUGAGAGGAUGAUCAGCCACACUGGGACUGAGACACGGCCCAGACUCCUACGGGAGGCAGCAGUGGGGAAUAUUGGACAAUGGGCGAAAGCCUGAUCCAGCCAUGCCGCGUGAGUGAUGAAGGCCUUAGGGUUGUAAAGCUCUUUCAGUGGGGAAGAUAAUGACGGUACCCACAGAAGAAGCCCCGGCUAACUUCGUGCCAGCCGCCGCAGUAACAC
rnacentral:rRNA from 1 species